CAUGGACACUUUUAUGGUAAAUAAUGGUUUUAUUUGGGCAGGUAUUUUGAGUUAUGGGUGGAGCUGAUUAAUUAAUGUGGGUGCGAUGCACAGGUGGUGAGAAAAUGAGAUCGUCUUUGUCUGUGAACUGUGGUGGAGGUAUAGCCACACAGCACAUGUUUGUUUUUAUCCUAUUUAAGUCAUGAGUUUUUGAUAUUAAUUUUGGAUCUGUUGUGGAAAAAAGUGGAAAUUGUUCGUGAAUAAACAGAGAAAUCAAACGAAACGACGGAUCCGUGAGUUUAUAUUGAAGUGGACACGCAUCAGGAACAAACAGUUUGUUUUGCCCGUUCACCUUGCAGACCACAGCUACUGUCACAGAGGGAGAAUCUCUGCACGCCGUGCAGACAGUGACAGGAAGCCCAGAGCAUCCUGCAGAGACCAACAGCAGCACUCUGCUCAUCCUCCCAGACCGGCCCAGAAGAGGAAGAGGACCUCUGCUGCUCGUCCUUCCACAUCUUCUGCCGAACAUCUGGUCCCGAGGCCUCGGUCCCCCAUCUCACCUGCCGACCUCAUUCUCCAACCAACAAACUAAACAUGCAUCUUAUCCUCCUCCAGCCGGAUAAACAACCAAAGAACCACACAGCUUUAACAAACCUCCACCUCAAACCACCCAGCUGUGGAUCAGUGUUUUAAACUCACAGAUUUUCUUUUUGCUUUUUUUCAGGUGGACUUCAGAGACAUCCAGACGUACAGGAGCUGAUGAAGGCCCAUUCCGACAGUUCCUUCUGCUACAAGAUCUGUGCACCAGAGAUGUCUUUAUCUCCUCCUCAUCCUCCAUCAUCACCAGCGACUCCUGCUCCUCUCCUGAACUGAAAGCUCCUCUUCACAUGGACCCUUCAACUCCACAAAGCUUCCUCUGAUCUCCUCCACAAGUCAGCUCCAAAACAGACAAAACAUUGGACAAUUGGUACUUUAGACAAGCAAGAAAUAUCUGCAAAGAUAACUAAAUAUGUAACUUGUGUAGAUGUUUUUAAAGAUAAAAAUAUUCUAGUGUCAUGACAAAAAAAUGACAUAUAUCUUCAAAUGAUUACAACUAGACUAAAACAAAUACUUAUCUGAUAAAAGAAACAGUUAUUUUUUCUCUCAAAAUGUAGAAGUAUUUUUCAUUUAACAUCUUAUUUAAAAUAAGGCUGUAACUGAGUUAAAAUAGAAUAUUGUGCUAAAAAAUGUCAUCCUGACUGACUCUGUUUUAUUCUAAAUGACAUCCUCCGUUCUAUAGGCUAGCAUAAAGCUAGGUCAACCAUCUGUCCGUAAAUAUAAUUCAACAACACGCAAACGUUCAUUACUAACAUAAUACGUAAUAAUUUUAAUUUUAUUUGGCAACGUGUAAAAUGUAUUUCAGCACAGAACUUUUAUUUUUAGCCGUUAGUUGACUGGCUGGUGAGCUCUGUGAUUGGAUAGUCUGAGAGCCGCAGUACCUGUAGUUAUGUUUGGUGCUUCAUUCAUUAAAAUAAUAGAUUGAUAAAAUUAUUGAAAUAGAAAAUGUGUAUUUGUCAUAGUACCUGCAACAAUUGGAUUAAUAAAUGUAGUUAUUUGUGUUGAAGUCACUCAGGAAGGCAACAUGAAAAAACUUUUCAAUUAUUAUAUUUCUCAAAGACAAUUAGGAACUAUAAAGUCUCAAACAAGUUAAAUAUUCAUAAAUAAUACAGCCUGAUGAAAAAGACAACAAAAACAAAUAUAUAAUGCCUUCAAUUAUUUCACGUUAAUUAGAAUUGACCUUUGAUAAAAUAUAUUAAGUCUAGUUUUUGACAUCAAUGUGAGUCACUAAUUGUUCAAACUUUAAAAAACAAUAAACCUUCUUGUUCACUUCAUGUCAAACUUGUUCAAUCCCUUUAUUUUUGAAAGAUUGUUA